rnacentral:rRNA from 1 species
CGUUAACAUGCAAGUCGAGCGGGGAUAGGGUGCUUGCACCUGAUUCCUAGCGGCGGACGGGUGAGUAAUGCUUAGGAAUCUGCCUAUUAGUGGGGGACAACGUUCCGAAAGGGACGCUAAUACCGCAUACGUCCUACGGGAGAAAGCAGGGGAUCUUCGGACCUUGCGCUAAUAGAUGAGCCUAAGUCGGAUUAGCUAGUUGGUGGGGUAAAGGCCUACCAAGGCGACGAUCUGUAGCGGGUCUGAGAGGAUGAUCCGCCACACUGGGACUGAGACACGGCCCAGACUCCUACGGGAGGCAGCAGUGGGGAAUAUUGGACAAUGGGGGGAACCCUGAUCCAGCCAUGCCGCGUGUGUGAAGAAGGCCUUUUGGUUGUAAAGCACUUUAAGCGAGGAGGAGGCUUACCUGGUUAAUACCCGGGAUAAGUGGACGUUACUCGCAGAAUAAGCACCGGCUAACUCUGUGCCAGCAGCCGCGGUAAUACAGAGGGUGCAAGCGUUAAUCGGAUUUACUGGGCGUAAAGCGCGCGUAGGUGGCUAAUUAAGUCAAAUGUGAAAUCCCCGAGCUUAACUUGGGAAUUGCAUUCGAUACUGGUUAGCUAGAGUAUGGGAGAGGAUGGUAGAAUUCCAGGUGUAGCGGUGAAAUGCGUAGAGAUCUGGAGGAAUACCGAUGGCGAAGGCAGCCAUCUGGCCUAAUACUGACACUGAGGUGCGAAAGCAUGGGGAGCAAACAGGAUUAGAUACCCUGGUAGUCCAUGCCGUAAACGAUGUCUACUAGCCGUUGGGGCCCUUGAGGCUUUAGUGGCGCAGCUAACGCGAUAAGUAGACCGCCUGGGGAGUACGGUCGCAAGACUAAAACUCAAAUGAAUUGACGGGGGCCCGCACAAGCGGUGGAGCAUGUGGUUUAAUUCGAUGCAACGCGAGG